CUACGGGUUGCAGCAGUGGGGAAUAUUGCACAAUGGGCGAAAGCCUGAUGCAGCAACGCCGCGUGAGCGAUGAAGGCCUUCGGGUCGUAAAGCUCUGUCCUAAGGGAAGAUAAUGACGGUACCUUAGGAGGAAGCCCCGGCUAACUACGUGCCAGCAGCCGCGGUAAUACGUAGGGGGCAAGCGUUAUCCGGAAUCACUGGGCGUAAAGGGUGCGUAGGCGGCUGAUAAAGUCCGAGGUGAAAGGCUACGGCUUAACCGUAGUAAGCCUUGGAAACUUAUCGGCUUGAGUACAGGAGAGGAAAGUGGAAUUCCUAGUGUAGCGGUGAUAUGCGUAGAUAUUAGGAGGAACACCAGUGGCGAAGGCGACUUUCUGGACUGUUACUGACGCUGAGGCACGAAGGCGUGGGGAGCGAACAGGAUUAGAUACCCCCGUAGUC
rnacentral:rRNA from 1 species